rnacentral:lncRNA from 1 species
AACAUUAACAGAUAAAGUCAACUUGCUGUUGCACAAUACUUGAGAAUUUAAAAAAAGGACAAAGAGAAAAAUAGAAUGUGAGCCCCAUACGGGGUGGGGUGGGGACACUGGGGAAACUGGCUGCUUCAGAAUGUAUCUGACAUUUUGCUGCUUUGGAAACCUAGCUGCUUCUUCCACCUUCUUUAUUUCUACCCAUGAUUUCAUGAUUUCUACCCAUGAUUUCAAAUUGUAUUAUCUUAGUUCUAAGAGGGUAUUUCAGGACAGCCAAUGGUAAACUGUAAGGCACUGCAAGUUAACAAGGUAGCAAGAAUGCAGAAAAAUCUGGAGGCUGCUCUUGAAAGACAUUUAGUCAGAAUAAGAGUUUUAGUAUCUCCAGGGUGCUCAUGUACUAGAGAAGGCAAAGUUAGUUUUCUUUCUGGAGUUGGAAGGCAAUGGCAAAAUCACACUGGUAUGCACUCUGGCUCUAUAUAAAGACAUUCUUAAAAAUAAGAGCCAUUUACCAAGGGAACAUGCUGCUUUGCAAGGUGGCCCAGUCUUAGCUGGAGAGCUGUUAGGAGAAUGCCUACACAGAUCAAUCGCUACAAUUUUAUAAUUCUCUGAAAUCUAUUCUCCUUUUUUUGUUCCACAAUGCAGUCUUUUCUUCCUCUGGUGCUGGUUAAUACUUACAUUCUAAUAUUUCUACCGAUUUUUGCCUCACAGAUCCUAAAUGUGCUACAAAAAAACUGACUUAGUUUCAAUCUUACUGCUUUGGAAAAAUAUGCUUCCUCUUCUAGGAUGACAAAAUUCAAAACCUGAAGCAUCGAUUCUUCCCACUUAAAAUAACCUUUAAGUGAAUCCAAUUCCAAUAAAAAUUCUGAUGAGAUUUUCUUUUACUUGGCAAAAUGAUUUUAGAAUUAAUCUUUAAAAAAUGUAGAAUAGGCUGGGUGUGGUGGCUCAUGCCUGUAAUCCCAGCACUUUGGGAGUCCCAGGAGGGUGGAUCACCUGAGGUGGGCAAAUCACUUGAACCCAGGAGGCAGAGGCUGCAGUGAGCUGAGAUCGUGUCACUGCACUCCAGACUGGCCGACAGAGCAAGACUCCAUCUCAAAUAAUAAUAAUAAUAAUAAUAAUAAUGAUGAUGAUGAUGAUAAUGUAGAAUAGUCCAGAAAUUUUUUAAAAGAAGAAUAAAGAUGAAGGAAAUUGCCUUGCAAAUAUAAAAACAUAUUAUUUGCAAUUAUUAUUCACUAAACAAUAUUAGGACAACUGAUUAAACAUUUGGGUUUAAUAAGUGGAAUAAAAGGAAAAAACAGAUUAGUUAAAUCUCCCCUCACACCUUAAACUAUAUGUGUUUAAGAUGUUUAAGAUUUACAUUUAAAUCUUACAUUAAGAUUUAAAUGUAAAAUACAAAACCCACAAAUACUAGCAAAGUACAGGUCAAUAUCUUUACAAUCCUAACAUAAGAAAGACCUUCCUAAGUCAGCAUGCAAUCAAAGGCAGAAUCAUGAGAGAACGGGAAACUAAACUACAUAAUUUCUAUCUGGAAAGUACAAUGAAAAGCCAAAGGAUACAGAAAUUGGGGGAGAAAUACAUAAAAUAUAUGACAAAGCCCUAGUAUUUUCAAUGUAUAAAAAGCUCUAAGGAUCAAUAUGAAAAAAUUACUAUCUCCAUAAAAAAAUAAGCUAGGGAUAAAAUAAGCAGUUCAUCAAAGAAUAAAGAUGACCAACAAUGUGAAAAGAGGACAAAAAUGUAAUUUAAAAAAUGCAAUGAGUCUAGACAACAUGGUGAGACUUCAUCACUUCAAAAAAAUUUAAAAAGUUAGCUAGAUGUGGUGGCACACGCCUGUGGUCUCAGCUACUUGGGAGGCAGAGGUGGCAGGAUUGGUUAAGCCCAGGAGUUUGAGGCUGCAGUGAGCUGUGUUCUCAUCACUACACUCCAGCCAGGGUGACAGAGCAAGACCCUGUCUCAAAAACCAAAAUAAAACACAAAAAACAAAACAAAACAAAAAACAUGCAGUUCACUACAUUUUACCUAUCAGAGUGACAGAAAACAAUUAGACAAGGCAUAAGUAUAUAUACAUAAUGAUUUCAAAGUGCUACUGAUAAUACAAACACUCAUUAAUUAGUUUCAAGAAAUUAUAGAAAAUUCAAAAUGUAAUACUCUGUAGCUGUAAAAAAUUAUCUAUUUAUCAACAUAGAAAGAGCUUCAUAUAUUAAGUAAAAAGUAGGUUACCUAACAGCCCAUAAGUGAUAUUCACCGACCCUUAAACACCUUUCGAUUUCCAGAAAAACAUCUGGAAAGGUAAUUAUCAAAGUGUUAAGAUGACAUCUCUACGUGGGGGACGACUAUUUUCAUUUUUUCCUUAUGCUUUUCUGCACUUUAUGUAUUU